rnacentral:lncRNA from 1 species
AAAAAAUAUAUACAACCUGAGCUUUCUCGGAAAAUCAGUAGUGGACAAACUCCCUCCACUGAUGAGAGAUUACAUCUGGAGGACAAACACGGGCCACCUCCUCUUCAGUCAUGCCCUCGUGCUUCCAAUCCGCCUUUAGCUUCAUCUUAUAUUCUUUCCAUUUGCGGUUGACAGACUUCAGCACCCAAUCAUGGCUAUUUGCAGGAAGGACAAACUUUUUCUACAUCAAAGUCAAAA